rnacentral:rRNA from 1 species
AGAGUUUGAUCCUGGCUCAGAACGAACGCUGGCGGCGUGCCUAAUACAUGCAAGUCGAACGAGAAAGUACUUCGGUAUGAGUACAGUGGCGCACGGGUGAGUAACGCGUAGGUAUCUGCCUUUUAGUGGGGAAUAACACAGCGAAAGUUGUGCUAAUGCCGCAUGUGAAAGAGAUUUCAAAGGGGGGUAGCAAUACCUCCUGCUAAAAGAUGAGCCUGCGUGACAUUAGGUAGUUGGUGGGGUAAUGGCCUACCAAGCCGACGAUGUCUAUCCGGUCUGAGAGGAUGAUCGGACACACUGGAACUGAGACACGGUCCAGACUCCUACGGGAGGCAGCAGUAGGGAAUAUUGCGCAAUGGGGGAAACCCUGACGCAGCAACGCCGCGUGAGUGAGGAAGGUCUUCGGAUCGUAAAGCUCUGUUCUUAGGGAAAAAUGGUUAGAGAGCUAAUACCCUCUAAUUUGAUGGUACCUAAGGAGAAAGGACCGGCUAACUUCGUGCCAGCAGCCGCGGUAAUACGAAGGGUCCAAGCGUUGUUCGGAUUUAUUGGGCGUAAAGCGCGCGCAGGUGGAUUAGCAAGUCAGGUGUGAAAUCUCGGAGCUUAACUCCGAAACUGCGCCUGAAACUGCUAGUCUAGAAUGUCGGAGGGGGCAGGGGAAUUUCACGUGUAGGGGUAAAAUCCGUAGAGAUGUGAAGGAACACCGGAGGCGAAGGCGCCUGCCUAGACGAUUAUUGACACUGAGGCGCGAAAGCGUGGGGAGCAAACAGGAUUAGAUACCCUGGUAGUCCACGCCGUAAACGAUGAGAACUAGUUAUUGGAGGUAUUGACUCCUCCAGUGACGCAGCUAACGCAUUAAGUUCUCCGCCUGGGAAGUACGGCCGCAAGGCUAAAACUCAAAGGAAUUGACGG